AACGUAGGAGGCAAGCGUUAUCCGGAUUUACUGGGCGUAAAGCGCAUGCAGGUGGCGUUGCAAGUCUGGUGUGAAAGCCCCUGGCUUAACUGGGGGAGUGCGCUGGAAACUGCAAGGCUGGAGGUCGGAAGAGGAAAGCGGAAUUCCCGGUGUAGUGGUGGAAUGCGUAGAUAUCGGGAGGAACACCAGUGGCGAAGGCGGCUUUCUGGUCCGGACCUGACACUAAGAUGCGAAAGCGUGGGGAG
rnacentral:rRNA from 1 species